AUGCCCAAUAGUGUCAUCAGCAUUUGCUAGGAUCCAUGGGAGCCAUGGUGUCAUCAUCUCCGGGAAUCCACUUCAACCAUGUGCCACCACCUCCCAGGAUCCGCUUCACCUGUGGUGUUGUCACCUCCCAGGAUCCAUGAGAGCCAGUGGUGUCAUCUCCUAGGAUCCACUUCAACCACAGUGUCUUCAUCUCCCAGGAUCCAUGGGGUCCAAUACUGUCACCGUCCACUAGAAUCCCCCAUAACCCAGGUGUCUUCAUCUGUGAUCCAUGAGGUCCAAUGCUGUCACCACCCACUGGGAUCCCCCAUAACCCUGGUGUCUUCAUCUCCUGGGAUCCAUGAGGUCCAAUGCUGUCACCAUCCACUAGGAUCCCCCAUAACCCUGGUGUCAUCUCCUGGGAUCCAUGGGGUCCAAUGCUGUCACCACCCACUAGGAUCUCCACCCACUAGGAUCCCCCAUAACCCUGGUGUCAUUCCAGAGUCCACUGCAACCACGUGCCAUCAUCCCCCAAGAGCCAUCAUCUUAGGAGCCAAGUACCAUGACAAGCUGUAUUUCAGUUGUCCUCUGGAGCCACAUGGUACUUACAUUUGUUCACUUAAGGGGAACCAGCACAAAGGCCAUAUUCCCGUUUCUACAAAGUGGACAGGGGUGGGGCCACCUGCCUCCCUCUGGUGACUUCACCCCCACUCUGGCCCUCCUUAUUUCACUGCCUCACUGCUGACCAAGGAUGAUGCCUGGAUCAACCCCACCACAGAUGUGGCCUCAGCCAGCCUCACCUCGGCCCCCAGGCCCCUCCUGACAGCAUCGCUGCCCCUCACCCAGCCAACUGAUUGGUGACAGGGUCAACCCAGCAACCUCUCAUCAUCAGCAGAGGGGAGCAUUCCAACCCUCGGGUGACACCACUAACCCCUGCCCAAUCCCUGUCACCUGGGCCCCUACUAGGAUCAGCACUUUGCUGGCUCCUGCCAAAUUCUUCUCAGAGACCCCUGAUCCCCACGGGACGGGCCAAAGCUGGUGACCGACCUGGGGCCUUCCAUGCUGUUCUGCUGGCCUGAUCCUGCAGCAGAACACUGCAGAGCAACGGUCCCUGCCGGCACAUCUGGCAGGGCCAGGGUGCUCCUUCACCUCCCUCCCUAAUGCCCGAACACCCCCGGAGCCUCCCGGGGUGGCAGGAAGUCCCCAGCACCCAAUGCACAAUCUCCCCUCGAUUCUCUUUGUACAUAGCCAUGUUGCGGGGGCGGCCAUUCCCCAACUCUUAAAGGGCUACAAGCCCCUCCCCCAGCCCCCAGGGCGAGGUGGGGGGGCCUCUUCUUCCUCCCCUGGGCCGUCCCCUUCCCUCUUCUGUCUCCCCUCAAACACUGGCACCUCAUGCUCCUUCUUGUCAGGAGCUUGGGGCAGGCAAGUGGCCCUUGGCUCCCACCACACUGAGGAAACGGGGCGGGUUACCCAAAUCUACCUAGGCCUCGGUGCCAGGUUUUCAACCCCAUGGCUUCUAGCUGCUCUGAGGGGCUCCUCCCAUCCCUUCCGGGGGCCUGAAGGAGCCACCUUGAGCACCCCUGCCUCCCAGUCCCUUCCCUCUGCUCAACACCUCCACAGAACACUCAGCUUUCUCCAGCCCCCAGGAUUUGGGGAUUUGGGCCUUUCAGCUUUUGUAUGCCCCCCUUCACUAGCUCUAGCCCAGUCUGGUUCCAGGAAUCCUGCCCCCAGCCCUGUCCCCAUUCAGUCAGCACAGGCUGCCUGACCCUGGGGCCUUGAUUUGCUCUAGAAUAAGCCAUAGAGGGGAGAGGUCUCGAGGGGUGGGAGCAGCUGUGUACUGCCAAUUCCCCUCCACAUUUCCUGAGCUGGGGUCUCGUCAUCUGAGUCUUCCCCAUUCCCCAACAAAGGCACACAAACCCAUGCAUACACAAGCGCGCGCACACACGCACACACACAAACACACUCACACACACACACACAGAGGCAUCUCCCCUUCUGGGUGGGGGAGCUAGGGAGGGGGUGGUUCACAGGGAGAAGAUAAAACAGUUCCACACCCGAAGACCCUCCAACAGCUUCUGCCUCCCUCCUCAUCCCUCCUCUCGCCACUCCCCUCUCCAAAACUGGUCCCUUCCCCUCCCCCUGGUGAGGACAGCCAGAGUUGCUGCGACUUGGUAUUUUUUGGAAUAAAUAGACAUUUUCCUGA